rnacentral:rRNA from 1 species
AUGUUCCUAGUAAAAUCUGCAUAUCAUGUCACCUUGAAUUGCCAGGCAAGGGAAUCUAUUCAUUGCAUUGCAUCGACAUCCAAUGGUAGCACAAAUGGAACUUUAUUAUGGAGGGAACUUUGGUCAUUGCCUAUUCCAAGUAAGCUUUUGCAUUUCCGGUCACACCUAUCAAAUAACAGCCUGCCGCUGAGAAUGGAAAUAAAAUAUAGAGGAAUAGAGUUGGACACAAGAUGCCCAAUUUGCUUUAGAUUUGACGAGGACGGUGGCCAUUGUUUUCUGAAAUGUAAAUUUGUGAGAGCCAUAUGGAGGGAAACACUAUUGGAAGAUUUUCGACAAAAGCUAGUUGAGUGCCCAAAUGCAUCCUCCAUGAUGGAAGAAAUCCUGCAACUGCAAGAGGAAAAAUGCAUGAAAGUAUGCAUCUAUUUGUGGAUUUGGUGGCAUGAGCGAAAUAAAGCUAACCAAGGAGACAAAAUCAGAUCAUCGGAUGAGGUUGCAUAUUCAGUUCAGCUGCAUUUUGGUGAAUACAUGGAGCAAUAUCUGAAAGAAAACAAAAAAAUAAGUAAAUAA